rnacentral:lncRNA from 1 species
GUUGGGGGCAUUUGUAUUUGGUGCAUAUAUAUUUAGAAUUGUCAUCUCUUCCUUUUGGAUUGUUCCCUUCACAAGGAUGUAGUGACAGUCUUUGUCUCUCUUAAUUAGUUUUGGUUUGAAAUCACUUUGUCUGCAAAUAAGAUUGUUACCCUUGCUUUCUUCUGGGUUCCUAUCACAUGGAGAGCUGUUUUCCACCCUUUUACUUUCAGUCUAUGAAUUUCUUUUUGAGUUAGGUUCUGCCAGUCUAUUUCUUUUGGUUGGUGAAUUGGGGCCAUUAACAUUGAUAGUUAUAAUUGAUAGAUAUUGCCUUAUCCUUGUCAUGAUGCUUUAGUGUUGUUGGCUCUUUUAUUUCUUAUUUUUUUCCCAUUUUGUUUUUACCUUGCCUGGGGGCUUCCUUCUGUUGGGCCUCAUGAAGUUGUGACCUUCAUUGUCUUUUUCUAGGAUAUUGCUUAGAAUUGUUUGGAGUGCUGGUUUGGUGUUCAUGAAAUUUCUCAGGUGUUCUUUGUCAUGGAAGUAUCUAAUUUCCCCAUUGAUUUUGAAAGAUAAUUUUGCAGGAUACAACAGUCUAGGUUAGAAGUUACUUUCUUUUAGGGCUUGAAAUACUUCACUCCAGGCUCUCCUUGAUUUGGGGCUUUGUGUUGAGAAGUUUGCUGUGAUUCUGAUGGGCUUUCCUUUGUAGGUGAUUUGUUUCCUUUCUCUAACUGCUUGUAGGAUUUUGUUUUUCUGUUGGGUUUCUGGGAUCUUGACUAUUAUAUGUCUAGAUGUAGAUUUUUUUUUUGAUCAUGGCUAGUUGGAGUUCUACAUGCCUUACUUAUCUGUAUGUCCCAUUCUCUACCUCUGUCUGGGAAGUUUUCCACUAUUACUUCUGUGAACAGUUUUUUUUAUGUCAGUUGUGCUUUCUCUUGUUUUUUCAUGGAUUCCUAUCUCUUAUAUUAUUCUUCUUUGCAUCACCUAGCAGUUGUUUGAUUGAUUUCUUAUGGUCCAUUACUAUUUUCAUGAAAUCUCUAUUUUCUUGGUCUCUAACCACAAUCCUGCCUUCUAUAUCUGAUAUUCUAUCUUCAGAUUUCCUUAAUCUGCUGUGGAUACUUUCAAUGGAGUUUUUGAUCUCCUGAAUAUCUGUUUGACUCUGUUUCAUUGAUUCCAUUUCAUUCUUAUGCUGGGCAAUCA